rnacentral:rRNA from 1 species
AGUGAACGCUGGCGGUAGGCCUAACACAUGCAAGUCGAACGGCAGCACAGUAAGAGCUUGCUCUUACGGGUGGCGAGUGGCGGACGGGUGAGGAAUACAUCGGAAUCUACUUUUUCGUGGGGGAUAACGUAGGGAAACUUACGCUAAUACCGCAUACGACCUACGGGUGAAAGCAGGGGAUCUUCGGACCUUGCGCGAUUGAAUGAGCCGAUGUCGGAUUAGCUAGUUGGCGGGGUAAAGGCCCACCAAGGCGACGAUUCGUAGCUGGUCUGAGAGGGUGAUCAGCCACACUGGAACUGAGACACGGUCCAGACUCCUACGGGAGGCAGCAGUGGGGAAUAUUGGACAAUGGGCGCAAGCCUGAUCCAGCCAUACCGCGUGGGUGAAGAAGGCCUUCGGGUUGUAAAGCCCUUUUGUUGGGAAAGAAAAGCAGCAGGUUAAUACCCCGCUGUUCUGACGGUACCCAAAGAAUAAGCACCGGCUAACUUCGUG